CCUACGGGGGGCUGCAGUGGGGAAUAUUGGACAAUGGGGGGAACCCUGAUCCAGCCAUGCCGCGUGUGUGAAGAAGGCCCUCGGGUUGUAAAGCACUUUCAGUGAGGAAGAACGCCUGGUGGUUAAUACCCAUCAGGAAAGACAUCACUCACAGAAGAAGCACCGGCUAACUCCGUGCCAGCAGCCGCGGUAAUACGGAGGGUGCGAGCGUUAAUCGGAAUUACUGGGCGUAAAGCGCGCGUAGGUGGCUUGAUAAGCCGGUUGUGAAAGCCCCGGGCUCAACCUGGGAACGGCAUCCGGAACUGUCAAGCUAGAGUGCAGGAGAGGAAGGUAGAAUUCCCGGUGUAGCGGUGAAAUGCGUAGAGAUCGGGAGGAAUACCAGUGGCGAAGGCGGCCUUCUGGACUGACACUGACACUGAGGUGCGAAAGCGUGGGUAGCAAACAGUAUUAGAUACCCGAGUAGUC
rnacentral:rRNA from 1 species